UACGGGGGGGGCAAGCGUUGUUCGGAAUUACUGGGCGUAAAGGGCUCGUAGGCGGCCAACUAAGUCGGACGUGAAAUCCCCAGGCUCAACCUGGGAACUGCGUCUGAUACUGGAUGGCUUGAAUCCGGGAGAGGGAUGCAGAAUUCCAGGUGUAGCGGUGAAAUGCGUAGAUAUCUGGAGGAAUACCGGUGGCGAAGGCGGCAUCCUGGACCGGCAUUGACGCUGAGGAGCGAAAAGCCAGGGGGAGCAAACGGG
rnacentral:rRNA from 1 species